rnacentral:rRNA from 1 species
AAUGCUGACAUAAGUAACGAUAAAGCGGGUGAAAAGCCCGCUCGCCGGAAGACCAAGGGUUCCUGUCCAACGUUAAUCGGGGCAGGGUGAGUCGACCCCUAAGGCGAGGCCGAAAGGCGUAGUCGAUGGGAAACAGGUUAAUAUUCCUGUACUUGGUGUUACUGCGAAGGGGGGACGGAGAAGGCUAUGUUGGCCGGGCGACGGUUGUCCCGGUUUAAGCGUGUAGGCUGGUUUUCCAGGCAAAUCCGGAAAAUCAAGGCUGAGGCGUGAUGACGAGGCACUACGGUGCUGAAGCAACAAAUGCCCUGCUUCCAGGAAAAGCCUCUAAGCAUCAGGUAACAUCAAAUCGUACCCCAAACCGACACAGGUGGUCAGGUAGAGAAUACCAAGGCGCUUGAGAGAACUCGGGUGAAGGAACUAGGCAAAAUGGUGCCGUAACUUCGGGAGAAGGCACGCUGAUAUGUAGGUGAAGUCCCUCGCGGAUGGAGCUGAAAUCAGUCGAAGAUACCAGCUGGCUGCAACUGUUUAUUAAAAACACAGCACUGUGCAAACACGAAAGUGGACGUAUACGGUGUGACGCCUG